AACGAACGCUGGCGGCAGGCUUAACACAUGCAAGUCGAACGCCCCGCAAGGGGAGUGGCAGACGGGUGAGUAACGCGUGGGAACGUACCUUUCAGUUCGGAAUAACUCAGGGAAACUUGUGCUAAUACCGGAUACGCCCGCAAGGGGAAAGAUUUAUCGCUGAAAGAUCGGCCCGCGUUGGAUUAGCUAGUUGGUGGGGUAAAGGCCUACCAAGGCGACGAUCCAUAGCUGGUCUGAGAGGAUGAUCAGCCACACUGGGACUGAGACACGGCCCAGACUCCUACGGGAGGAAGCAGUGGGGAAUAUUGGACAAUGGGCGAAAGCCUGAUCCAGCCAUGCCGCGUGUGUGAUGAAGGCCUUAGGGUUGUAAAGCACUUUCACCGAUGAAGAUAAUGACGGUAGUCGGAGAAGAAGCCCCGGCUAACCUCGUGCCAGCCGCCGCCGUAA
rnacentral:rRNA from 1 species